GUGUGUGAGAGUGAAAGAGCCACAUGCAAUGCGUACAGUCUACCAAAUGUCACAGCUGAACUUACCGCUGCACUGAGAACAUCACAUACCAAUCAUUGAGGAGGGAGGUGCAACGCCACUUAAGAAGAGAGUUUGUUUGAUAAAUAUUCAACAUUUCCACCCGACUCCGGAUCACUGAACACAGAGGGACGCCUAGCACUCAACAACAGAUUGUGACUGAAAUGAAGAACUUAAUUCAAUCCGUCCUUCUCCUCGCUAUGCUAAUGUCAACAACAGGAGCCGAAGAGUUCAUAUAUUAUGCUCAGGUGGGAGAGAAGGUUACCCUUAAGCCUCCAGGGGUUCAUCCACAAAAAUAUGUGUACUGGUACUUUAAUGGCCGUGACCUUGCCUGGCGCAAUACCAUGGGAAAGACGUGGACCAGUCAAGAACCACGCUGGAAAGACAGGUUGUCCUUGUUGUCUGACGACUCACUUAUUAUCAACAACCUCGAACAAGAAGACUUCACGACAAUAUUUAAAUUUGAAGUAUAUGGUGGCCCUUCCGAAUAUACAUAUAAACUACUCAAACUCACUGUGAGUAUGAACUCACCCUCUCCUCUGCUGCCUGGGGACUCCCUGUCUCUGUCCUGCAAUGCAGUAACUCAGGGUCCCAAUAACCUAAAGAUACAUUGGCUGAAUCCCCAAGGAGUUAAAAUGAGACCUGAACAACUCCAUGCGAGAGCCACAAGCCAAGAUAAUGGCCAAUGGACUUGUGUUGUGACAAAUGCUAGACAAACGCAUGUAGCCAACGUUUUCGUUACGGUUAUAGACCUCUCCCCAGCUCCUUUAAGUCCUCAGUAUACGUCUAAAUCCCGACCUCUCACCGUCCCCUGUUCCCUUCCUCCUUACAUCUCCUGGGAUCAAAUCAAAGCUAAGGGCAUGCAGGAGGUGCACUGGCAAUUCAUCCCUGAACCAGGCUCGAGUCCACAGAGGCUGUUCUCCCUCUCUCUGGAAGAUCCACUGACCUGGAAGCCAGAACUAACCAGAGGACUGCGUCUUGUACAAGACCCUACAAAAAUUAAUCUGUCUUUGACUAGAGAUCAAGGAAGUGAAGAAGACAGAGGAGAUUAUGUAUGCACCCUGGAGUUUAAAAAUGUGGCUCUGACCAGGACUGUACACGUGAAGGUGCUGCAAAUCACCUCCUCCCCAGGAACAGAGUUAAUUUCUGGCCAACAGCUCAACCUGACUUGCAGUCUCGGCCAUCCGCUGCCCUCUGACCUGCGACUCAAAUGGUUCCCACCUAAAAAAUCAUCCCUGUCGUCUUCGUCUCUGGGAUCUGGCGGUCACCCUACCCAUCUCACCAUCCCGGAAGUGGGGAGAGGAGAUGGUGGAAAGUGGAGGUGUGAGCUGUGGCAGAACGACACACGGCUGACGUCAGCUGAGAUAACUCUGAAGAUUGAACCCAAACUGAGUGUGUGGAUGCUGGUGGUCAUAUGCAGUGUCACAGUCAUCGUAAUCCUCAUCCUCAUCCUCGUUUUCAUCCUCUACCAACACAGACAACGGAAGAUGAGACACCUCGGGCGCCGACUCUGCCAAUGCAAAACCCCCAAGCCCAAAGGAUUCUACAGAACAUAAUAUGUACCACAAAGACGUUUUCAAGAGGACUUCGCAACCAAUUCUAUUUCUGUCCAGAUAAGAUGGAUAUUCCUAUCAUAUCUGAAACUCAGCUAGAUGUGUUAGAUGAGGGUCUAAACGUUUUAAACAGUUUUUCAGUUCUGACAAAAAUGUAUUUUAUAGUUGUACAUAUCAGCCAUUUUGGAUUUUUCUGUAAUGUAACAUCUUUUACAGAAUUGCUCUAUGUUCAAUUUAAUUAUCAUUUUAACAUUAUUGUUUGUAAUAAUUGCUGUUAAUAAUUGUUUGUGUUAUACCCUUUUUCAUCCACAUUGUUUCUAGAUUUGUCUUGAUAUAUAAUGUAUUUUGUAUGAUGCUCUAAAAUACUGCACUGAUAGGCUUGGUUACUUGCUUUUAUAAAUACAGUAUUUACAAAUAUAUUAUUUUUAAAAUGAGCAAAUGUUGAUACUAAAUACGCAAAUGAGGACACUUCGUUAGUUAAAUCAAAACUGGACCUUUUUGUCAGAUAUUUUUUAUUUUUGUAGAUGAAGACAUUGGUCACUGAAGUUUUCCAAUAAAGUAUCAAUAUCUUUC